AGUAAUACCUCCGCGAUAUCCUCCAGAUCCAGGCAAAAGGGACUGCAAUAUGCAGUGGAAGGAUAUAUUCAAAAUAUUAAGAUGAACAACUAAGGGGACACAACAAUAAUCGAAGCCAAAGCAUACAGGUCUCUAUCAAAUAAAUAAGAAACCCCACGACCUUUUCAUUAAAUGCAACCAGCACAAUCUUUUGGACCAGUCAUGUUCUUGCACCGCUGGAGAAUUAGCUUAGUACGUUGGAAACCCGGUUUAGUCUUCAGUCUGCGGUUGCUGAGCUGAAGACAGUAGGCUAGUAUCCAGCGAAUAAGAAGACUGCAUGUUAACUGUCUCGUGUGUAUUGAUCUGUACAGGAAUAAAUACGCAAACCAUCAGUUCGUGGCCGUUUCUUGUUCACCAAAGCAGACAAAUAGAACACAACGCAGAAGGACCCGUUACAUAUACAAUAUGUCAAGCUUGCUUCUAAUAUCCUACAAAGAUUAUUUAUUGUUAGCAUAGCUAUCUAGCUAGGAUGGUGACAAUCUAGACUCUAGAGUCCAGGCGUGCCGUAGGACUUUGUGACAGCCAUACAUUACUAUUGCAAUAUACAACUAAUAGUUAUGAAUUUACUAUAUCAGUAGGCUACUUUGUACACACAUUGAUGGCUUA